AUUGAACGCUGGCGGCAUGCUUUACACAUGCAAGUCGAACGGUAACAGGCCUUCGGGUGCUGACGAGUGGCGAACGGGUGAGUAAUGCAUCGGAACGUGCCCAAUCGUGGGGGAUAACGUAGCGAAAGUUACGCUAAUACCGCAUAAGCCCUGAGGGGGAAAGCAGGGGAUCGCAAGACCUUGCGCGAAUGGAGCGGCCGAUGUCAGAUUAGCUAGUUGGUGGGGUAAAGGCCUACCAAGGCGACGAUCUGUAGCGGGUCUGAGAGGAUGAUCCGCCACACUGGGACUGAGACACGGCCCAGACUCCUACGGGAGGCAGCAGUGGGGAAUAUUGGACAAUGGGCGCAAGCCUGAUCCAGCAAUGCCGCGUGUGUGAAGAAGGCCUGCGGGUUGUAAAGCACUUUCAGUGGGAAGAACAGAUUCGGGUCAAUACCCGGAGCCCUGACGUUACCCACAGAAGAAGCACCGGCAACUCCGUGCCAGCAGCCGU
rnacentral:rRNA from 1 species